UACGAGUGCCCCAAGCGUUAUCCGGAAUUAUUGGGCGUAAAGGGUGUGUAGGUGGUCUUGUUAGUCUUCUGUUAAAGCUCUCGGCUUAACCGGGAACGUGCAGGGGAAACGGCAGGACUAGAGGAUGCGAGAGGUGUGCGGAACUCAUGGUGUAGGGGUGAAAUCCGUUGAUAUCAUGGGGAACACCGAAAGCGAAGGCAGCACACUGGCGCACUCCUGACACUGAAACACGAAAGCGUGGGUAGCGAAUGGG
rnacentral:rRNA from 1 species